AAGUGAAGGGUUUGAUCCUGGCUCAGAACGAACGUUGGCGGCGUGGAUGAGGCAUGCAAGUCGCGCGAGAAAGCGCCUUCGGGUGCGAGUACAGCGGCGGACGGGUGAGUAACACGUGACCGACCUGCCCUUGAUUCCGGGACAACAGCGGGAAACUGCUGCUAAUACCGGAUGGUCCAUCUGGACUGCAUGGUUUGGAUGGUAAAGGUGGGGAUCCUGCGGGACCUACUGAUCGAGGAGGGGGUUGCGGCCUAUCAGCUAGUUGGCGGGGUAACGGCCCACCAAGGCGACGACGGGUAGCAGGCCUGAGAGGGUGGUCUGCCACACUGGGACUGAGACACUGCCCAGACUCCUACGGGAGGCUGCAGUCGAGGAUCUUCCGCAAUGGGCGCAAGCCUGACGGAGCGACGCCGCGUGGAGGACGAAGGCCUUAGGGUUGUAAACUCCUGUCGAGGGUUAUGAAUUGCGUUGUACGAACAGUGCGACGAGUGACGUAAGCCCUGGAGGAAGCACCGGCUAACUCUGUGCCAGCAGCCGCGGUAAUACAGAGGGUGCAAGCGUUGUUCGGAAUUAUUGGGCGUAAAGCGCGUGUAGGCGGCUUGGCAAGUCGGGUGUGAAAGCCCUCAGCUCAACUGAGGAAGGGCGCCC
rnacentral:rRNA from 1 species